GCCGCAGAUCUUAAAGCACUUCAGAGUCGACCGUCGACACGCUGCAAUCGAGUCACAUAAGCAUGAUAAUGAAAAAUUACGCGUGUACCCUAACUCCGUAUGAAAACUUGUGUUGCUGAGCGCAAAAUUAGUGCAACUGAUUUUCUUUUACUGAGAUGACGAAACGAGGUGAUGUCAGCGUCAGUUUUCGUUUUGUUAGUAAAGGCAUGAAGGAGGAAUGGUAAAGGAUUAUGAUGGCGGCACUAGAUGGCUAGCCACUGGAAACUCGCAGCACAAGUUUAUGCAGGUUGGAUAGUGGAUAAUGGCCCAACUCUUCUCACAAUUUUCCUGUUCAUGCAAGAAACAUUAAGUUAGCUCAAAAGCUAAUCAAAUACCUUGACGUGACUUGGCAUUGUCACUAGCACAAAUAAAGCUACAGUAAAUUCCUGCAAAAUUAGUAGAUACAAGUAUUUGUGCAUGGGUAGGCUUGACUGGCUUUUUACAGAAACACAGGAUGGUUAACAUAAUUACAUGAAAUAGGUGAGUGUGUAAGAAAUGUUGAGUUUAUUUGUAGAUUAUCUUACGAUGAGAAAAAAUUGUAAGAUAGAACAAUUUAUUAAACAUUGGUGUUGCAGUAGGAUUGUAGAGAAAAUGUAUCACAUCAAGUAAAUCAAGAUGGCAAGGGAAAAAAAAAAAAAAAAAACAAAACAGAUUAACACCUAAUGACCAUGAAAAAAGGCAAGCACUAUUUCAAGUAAAAUGGCUUCCACAAUUGAAGGAUAUCCUCCACUGUCAAAGUAUUAGAAGCUUUGGGAAUUUUAUCUGACCAGAAAUAGUCCAAAUAAUUUGCAUUGAAAAUGAAAGAAUGUAUGCAUGAAGGUGAAACUGUAGUUUCUUGGAAAAAGUGUUCACAGUUGCAUUAAAGCAACAGUCAUUCAAAGUAUGGAGUAGGUCUUCACAUAAUUUGAUAUUUAUGUAAUCAAUGAUCUUUUUCUGUUGUCACUGUCAGAUAUCUGGGCAGCAAAGGGGUUUAUGUAAGAUCCGAAUUGACGAUUUGUUGAAGCACGUAACUUUAAAUUGAAGGCAAUUGCGAAUAACGAUAGUAAACCGGAUGUUGGUAGUGAAUUUUCUUCUUGACGUAUCUUAGUGUGUGCUAACCUGUUAGCAUUACUUAGGAAGUCAUGCAUACUGGUAAAUUUAAUUGCAUUUUCAUCUCUCCUAAAGCUAAGAUUAUAUACAUUUUCACAAUACGGUUAUCGUUUUCUUGUUGUACUGGCGUUUUUAAUUAUUUGAUUAAU